rnacentral:rRNA from 1 species
CCUACGGGUGGCAGCAGUGGGGAAUAUUGCACAAUGGAGGGAACUCUGAUGCAGCGACGCCGCGUGAGUGAAGAAGUAACUCGUUAUGUAAAGCUCUAUCAGCAGGGAAGUAAGUGACGGUACCUGAAAAAGAAGCUCCGGCUAAAUACGUGCCAGCAGCCGCGGUAAUACGUAGGGAGCAAGCGUUAUCCGGAUUUACUGGGUGUAAAGGGAGAGUAGGUGGAAGAGCAAGUCCGAAGUGAAAACCCAAAGCUCAACACUAGGAUUGCUUUAGAAACUGGUCAGCUAGAGUGCAGGAGAGGCAAGUGGAAUUCUUAGUGUAGCGGUGAAAUGCUUAGAUAUUAGGAAGAACACCAGUGGCGAAGGCAGCUUGCUGGACUGUAACUGACACUGAGGCUCGAAAGCGUGGGGAGCAAACAGGAUUAGAUACCCGGGUAGUC